GAUGAACGCUGGCGGCGUGCUUAAUACAUGCAAGUCGAGCGGUGAAGCGCCUUGCUUUUUGGUGGGUGUGGAGGAGCGGCGAGCGGGUGAGUAACACGUUAGUAACCUGACACGUUCUUCUGGAUAACCGCAUGAAAGUGUGGCUAAUACGGGAUAUUCUGGGUCUGUUGGAUGAUGGGUGUGGGAAGGAUAUUGUUUCGGUGGGGGAUGGGCCCGCGGUGUAUCAGCUUGUUGGUGGGGUGAUGGCCUACCAAGGCGGUGACGGGUAGCCGGCCUGAGAGGAUGGACGGUCAUGGUGGUAAGGAGACACGCCCAAUCCUACUGCGGGCGGCAGCAGGGGAGAUUAUGGAAUAGGGGGAGGAAUGCUGAUGCAGCGCCGCCGGGGGGGGGAUGGUGUCCUUCGCGUUGUGAACCUCUUUCGCGAGUGAAGCAAGCUUGCCUCGAUUGUGCGUGGCUUGACGGUAGCUGGACAAGAAGCGCCGGCUAACUACGUG
rnacentral:rRNA from 1 species